GACGAACGCUGGCGGCGUGCCUAAUACAUGCAAGUAGAACGCACAGUUUAUACCGUAGCUUGCUACACCAUAGACUGUGAGUUGCGAACGGGUGAGUAACGCGUAGGUAACCUGCCUGGUAGCGGGGGAUAACUAUUGGAAACGAUAGCUAAUACCGCAUAAUAUUAAUUAUUGCAUGAUAAUUAAUUGAAAGGUGCAAUUGCACCACUACCAGAUGGACCUGCGUUGUAUUAGCUAGUAGGUGAGGUAACGGCUCACCUAGGCGACGAUACAUAGCCGACCAGAGAGGGGACGCGGCCAAACUGGGACGGAGACAUGGCCCAGAAUACUACGGGAGGCAGCAGGAGGGAAUCUUCGGCAAUGGAAGAAAGGCUGACCGAGCAACGCCGGGUGAGUGAAGAAGGUUGUCGGAUCGUAAAGCUCUGUUGUAAGAGAAGAACGGGUGUGAGAGUGGAAAGUUCACACUGUGACGGUAUCUUACCAGAAAGGGACGGCUAACUCCGUG
rnacentral:rRNA from 1 species